AACGAACGCUGGCGGCAGGCCUAACACAUGCAAGUCGCACGCACCGCAAGGUGAGUGGCGCACGGGUGAGUAACACGUGGGAAUGUACCCUUUGGUUCGGAAUAACGUCUGGAAACGGACGCUAAUACCGGAUGAGCCCUGCGGGGGAAAGAUUUAUCGCCAAAGGAGCAGCCAGCGUCUGAUUAGCUAGUUGGCGGGGUAAAGGCCUAGCAAGGCGACGAUCAGUAGCUGGUCUGAGGGGAUGAUCAGCCACACUGGGACUGAGACACGGCCCAGACUCCUACGGGAGGCAGCAGUGGGGAAUAUUGGACAAUGGGCGAAAGCCUGAUCCAGCCAUGCCGCGUGAGGGAUGAAGGCCUUCGGGUUGUAAAGCUCUUUCGCACGCGACGAUGAUGACGGUAGCGUGAGAAGAAGCCCCGGCUAACUUCGUGCCAGCAGCCGCGGUAACAC
rnacentral:rRNA from 1 species